rnacentral:rRNA from 1 species
UACGUAGGGUCCGAGCGUUGUCCGGAAUUAUUGGGCGUAAAGAGCUCGUAGGCGGUCUGUCGCGUCGGUCGUGAAAACUUGGGGCUUAACCCUGAGCUUGCGGUCGAUACGGGCAUGACUGGAGUUCGGCAGGGGAGACUGGAAUUCCUGGUGUAGCGGUGAAAUGCGCAGAUAUCAGGAGGAACACCGGUGGAGAAGGCGGGUCUCUGGGCCGAUACUGACGCUGAGGAGCGAAAGCGUGGGGAGCGAACAGG